rnacentral:rRNA from 1 species
AUAACGGUCCUAAGGUAGCGAAAUUCCUUGUCGGGUAAGUUCCGACCCGCACGAAUGGUGUAACGAUCUGGGCACUGUCUCAACUACCCACCCGGCGAAAUUGUAGUACCGGUGAAGAUGCCGGUUACCUGCGGCAAGACGGAAAGACCCCAUGGAGCUUUACUGUAGCCUGAUAUUGGGUUUCGGAAAUCUAUGUACAGGAUAGGCGGGAGACUGGGAAACAUGAGCGUCAGCUUGUGUGGAGUCGAUGUUGGGAUACCGCCCUUAGGUUUCUGGAAUUCUAACCUGCGGCCGUGAAUCCGGUCGGGGGACAUUGUCAGGUGGGCAGUUUGACUGGGGCGGUCGCCUCCGAAAAGGUAACGGAGGCGCUCAAAGGUUAGCUCAGCACGGACGGAAACCGUGCCUCUGAGUGUAAACGCAAAAGCUAGCCUAACUGCGAGGGUGACGGCCCGAGCAGUAACGAAAGUUGGAGUUAGUGAUCCGGCGGUAUGUGAAUGGAAAUGCCGUCGCUCAACGGAUAAAAGCUACCCUGGGGAUAACAGGCUGAUCUCCCCCAAGAGUCCACAUCGACGGGGAGGUUUGGCACCUCGAUGUCGGCUCAUCGCAUCCUGGGGCUGUAGUAGGUCCCAAGGGUUGGGCUGUUCGCCCAUUAAAGCGGUACGCGAGCUGGGUUCAGAACGUCGUGAGACAGUUCGGUCCCUAUCUGUCGUGGGCGCAGGAUAUUUGAGGAGCUCUGUCCUUAGUACGAGAGGACCGGGAUGGACGUACCUCUGGUGCACCAGUUGUCAUGCCAAUGGCACGGCUGGGCAGCUAUGUACGGAACGGAUAAACGCUGAAAGCAUCUAAGCGUGAAGCCGACUCCAAGAUUAGAUAUCCCAUCGUAUAACGAGUAAGACCCCUUGAAGACUACGAGGUUGAUAGGCUGCGUGUGUAAGUGCCGUGAGGCAUUCAGCUUGGCAGUACUAAUAGGUCGAGGGCUUGACCAC